rnacentral:rRNA from 1 species
UAUCUCUGUAGAGUCUGCAUAUCAAUAAGCGGAGGAAAAGAAACUAACAAGGAUUCCCCUAGUAACGGCGAGUGAAGCGGGAAGAGCUCAAAUUUGAAAUCUUAAGGGGUUUCCCUUUACGAAUUGUAGUUUAAAGAAGUGUUUUCUGUUGGAGUUUCGGUAAAAGUUCUUUGGAAUAGGACAUCAUAGAGGGUGAGAAUCCCGUAUUUGACCGUUACUUUCCAGCUGUGUGAUACACUUUCAAAGAGUCGGAUUGUUUGGGAAUGCAGUCCAAAAUGGGUGGUAAAUUUCAUCUAAAGCUAAAUAUUGGCGAGAGACCGAUAGCGAACAAGUACCGUGAGGGAAAGAUGAAAAGGAACUUUGAAAAGAGAGUUAAACAGUACGUGAAAUUGUCAAAAGGGAAGCGUUUGACACCAGUGUUGUUUAGUUGAAAAUCAAUUAAAUAGUUUUCGAUUCUAAGUAGUAUUGACCUUAUCAGCUUGCUGCUUUCUUCUCGGAAAUUAUUUAAUGCACUUUUCAGUUAACAAGUCAACAUCAAUUUCUUUUGUUGUAAAAAGGUAAGAGGAAGGUGGCUUGCGCUUCGGCUCAAGUGUUUAUAGCCUUUUACUUCUGCAAUCGGAGAGAUUGAGGUCUGCAGCGUAGAUCCUUCGGGGUUAGAUACAUUUGUGCUAAGCUAUAGCCUUGUAUAGACAACUUGUUCACUAUGCUCAGUCAUGUAGCUUACUCGCUUAUGCUAUUUUACCUACGCUUAGGAUUUGAUCUCUCACAGUCGAGC